rnacentral:rRNA from 1 species
AACGUAGGAGACAAACGUUAUCCGGAGUUACUGGGCGUAAAGGGCGUGUAGGCGGUCUGUUAAGUCUGGCGUGAAAGCUCUCGGCUAAACCGGGAGAGGUCGUUGGAUACUGGCAGACUAGAGGACGGUAGAGGCGUGUGGAAUUCCGGGUGUAGUGGUGAAAUGCGUAGAGAUGUGGAGGAAUACCGAUGGCGAAGGCAGCCCCCUGGGUCGACACUGACGCUCAGGCACGAAAGCGUGGGGAGCAAACAGGG